GACAGGCUUAACACAUGCAAGUCGAGGGGCAGCACAGGUAGCAAUACCGGGUGGCGACCGGCGCACGGGUGAGUAACGCGUAUGCAACUUACCUAUCAGAGGGGGAUAACCCGGCGAAAGUCGGACUAAUACCGCAUGAAGCAGGGGCCCCGCAUGGGGAUAUUUGCUAAAGAUUCAUCGCUGAUAGAUAGGCAUGCGUUCCAUUAGGCAGUUGGCGGGGUAACGGCCCACCAAACCGACGAUGGAUAGGGGUUCUGAGAGGAAGGUCCCCCACAUUGGUACUGAGACACGGACCAAACUCCUACGGGAGGCAGCAGUGAGGAAUAUUGGUCAAUGGCCGAGAGGCUGAACCAGCCAAGUCGCGUGAGGGAUGAAGGUUCUAUGGAUCGUAAACCUCUUUUAUAAGGGAAUAAAGUGCGGGACGUGUCCCGUUUUGUAUGUACCUUAUGAAUAAGGAUCGGCUAACUCCGUGCCAGCAGCCGCGGUAAUACGGAGGAUCCGAGCGUUAUCCGGAUUUAUUGGGUUUAAAGGGUGCGUAGGCGGCCUUUUAAGUCAGCGGUGAAAGUCUGUGGCUCAACCAUAGAAUUGCCGUUGAAACUGGGGGGCUUGAGUAUGUUUGAGGCAGGCGGAAUACGUGGUGUAGCGGUGAAAUGCAUAGAUAUCACGCAGAACCCCGAUUGCGAAGGCAGCCUGCCAAGCCAUGACUGACGCUGAUGCACGAAAGCGUGGGGAUCAAACAGGAUUAGAUACCCUGGUAGUCCACGCAGUAAACGAUGAUCACUAGCUGUUUGCGAUACACAGUAAGCGGCACAGCGAAAGCGUUAAGUGAUCCACCUGGGGAGUACGCCGGCAACGGUGAAACUCAAAGGAAUUGACGGGGGCCCGCACAAGCGGAGGAACAUGUGGUUUAAUUCGAUGAUACGCGAGGAACCUUACCCGGGUUUGAACGCAUUCGGACCGAGGUGGAAACACCUUUUCUAGCAAUAGCCGUUUGCGAGGUGCUGCAUGGUUGUCGUCAGCUCGUGCCGUGAGGUGUCGGCUUAAGUGCCAUAACGAGCGCAACCCUUGCCACUAGUUACUAACAGGUAAAGCUGAGGACUCUGGUGGGACUGCCAGCGUAAGCUGCGAGGAAGGCGGGGAUGACGUCAAAUCAGCACGGCCCUUACAUCCGGGGCGACACACGUGUUACAAUGGCGUGGACAAAGGGAGGCCACCUGGCGACAGGGAGCGAAUCCCCAAACCACGUCUCAGUUCGGAUCGGAGUCUGCAACCCGACUCCGUGAAGCUGGAUUCGCUAGUAAUCGCGCAUCAGCCAUGGCGCGGUGAAUACGUUCCCGGGCCUUGUACACACCGCCCGUCAAGCCAUGGGAGCCGGGGGUACCUGAAGUCCGUAACCGCGAGGAUCGGCCUAGGGUAAAACUGGUGACUGGGGCUAAGUCAUAACA
rnacentral:rRNA from 1 species